UACAGAGGUCUCAAGCGUUGUUCGGAUUCAUUGGGCGUAAAGGGUGCGUAGGCGGUUGGGUAAGUCGGGUGUGAAAACUCAGGGCUCAACUCUGAGACGCCACUCGAUACUGCCCUGACUCGAGUCCGGUAGGGGAGCGUGGAAUUCCCGGUGUAGCGGUGAAAUGCGCAGAUAUCGGGAGGAACACCAGUGGCGAAGGCGGCUUCCUGGACCAGCACUGACGCUGAUGCGCGAAAGCUAGGGGAGCAAACAGG
rnacentral:rRNA from 1 species